rnacentral:rRNA from 1 species
UACGGAGGGUGCAAGCGUUAUCCGGAUUCACUGGGCUUAAAGGGUGCGUAGGCGGGUUGGUAAGUCAGUGGUGAAAUCUCCAGGCUUAACUUGGAAACUGCCAUUGAUACUAUCAAUCUUGAAUACCGUGGAGGUCAGCGGAAUAUGUCAUGUAGCGGUGAAAUGCUUAGAUAUGACAUAGAACACCAAUUGCGAAGGCAGCUGGCUACACGAAUAUUGACACUGAUGCACGAAAGCGUGGGGAUCAAACAGG